GCUUGUAGAGCUUUGACUAGUAACUCAUAAGACAAGUCAUUUUACCAGGAUACUUAAUCAGACUAACUCUUCGUAAAAUCUGUGGAGUCUAUAUAGUGUUCGAAGAUUAAGCACUAAGAUUAAACAUUACAAUAAACUCAAUCAUCUUGGUUGCUUGGGGAAGUGCAACUUGAUCAGCGUUGGCAGUUCAGUAAGCUCAACCUGGGGCUUACCCAACAACACAGUCUUCAACUUUUCAUCGCAAUUAACCAAGUUCUUGUUGUUCGGAUCCUGGAGAUUGUUUUCUUUGAUGUAAGACCAGACACGUUUAAAACAACCCAAGCGGGAGGUCUGUGACUGACCCAUGAACUCUCUAAGUGUUGAAGGGAGAUUUACUAGGUCAAUCAAAUUGGCUAACUUCUUUGGGUUGUCUGUCAUAACCUUUUUCAUCCGCUGUGGCAGCAUCUUGUUAGCUUCUCGCUUCCCUCGUCACUCGUCAGCAAUGGAAUUUUGGGGCAACGAUUUGGUGCUCACCGUUCUGCCAAUUCCUUUUUGUGCAA
rnacentral:misc_RNA from 1 species